CAGAGUAGGUUUUACUGCGUUAAGUGCCGUAUGAACGGGGAGUUGUCAUAUGGACGAAACGAGUUAUUCGUGCGGCAGUAAAAUCGCAUCCCGCUG
rnacentral:ncRNA from 1 species